rnacentral:lncRNA from 1 species
UUAACAACCAAGCUUAUAAAUCUAUCAUUAAACUUCAAAAACAUCACAAAUUAAUCCAUGGCAUAACUCAAAACAUUUGACAAUUGUAAUACCCGAUUUUGGCCCGGGUAAAAGGCCCAAAUUACAAACGGGCCACAAGGCCCAAACUGAAAUAAACAGAGGCCCAAAAUUAGACCCAGGCCCGAAGCAAUUUCAGAAACCCUAGGGUUUCUGAGGGAGCCUCCUGCCGCAAGCCAAACGCCGGAUCUCCGUGGUCUUCACCUGCAAAGGAAACAAACAAUACAAGGAAAGAAAUAAACAACAAAGAAAAUCAAAGAUUCGUAAAUCAAAUCAAAUGAGAUUUGUUUCUUUAUUUUUCAUUCGGCUAUAAAAUAGCCAUUGUAAUACUGUAAAAAGCGGAUCCCAAAUUGGAAAUCAAUAAAAAGAAAGAAAAUAUUCUCACAGUAGAGACAGAGAGCAAAAUUGACCGGAAAGGUUGACAUUGUGCAAUUUUUAUUUGUUAUAUUUAUUAUUUUCAUUCUUUCCUACAUACAAAUAAAAGAAAAAGAAGUAAAGGAGAAAGAAACGACCCGAGUGGUGCCUAGAAUCACCGUGAAUGGCCGGAAACCGAAAGGUUUCUCGGAGAUUUGAUGUUCUUCCGGUGAUAUUUUGAGGGUUUUAGGGCCAAAAAUGGGCUUAAGGGCUUCGGAGGAGCCAGAUUUGAAGUUUUCCCCGUUUUCGGCCACCGCAGACGGCGGCGCCGGCGCCGGAGAUCAGCGGCCGGCACGAUGGCCGGUGACCGGCCGAUGAUCGGACUGCUGGAAAGGGGGGAGAGUUU